rnacentral:sRNA from 1 species
UACAAUUGUUAAAUAGUGUAUAUCUGUGCCUUUAAUAAAUGGACAUGUUAAUUAUCGUUUUGGUUUUAUUUGAUUUGGUAGCAUGCAAUAUGUAUACAGAAGAAACAUUUGUCAAGACCAAUAGUAAAUCUUGCGGACCCAUUAGACUGGCUUCUGGUUGGACUGACGUGUCAGUCUUGUCUUGUGUGAUGAAUUGUUUCAAUAGGUACGAAACUGGAUGCCGUAGUUUCAUGUUUAAUGACCUGACAAACCUGUGUACACCGGGUGGCAGAUUGUCUCCCUUCUCUUCAGAACCAACUCCACAAGAAGGUGAUGUCUACCUACUCAUGAGGGAUGACGUCUAUGAUGG